UGCUGCUCUCUGUUUCCCUUGCCUUGUGUGAACACGUUGGUAUGGAUGGUGUAAGGUUGGCCGGUGACGUUGCCGAGGAACUCGAAGUCGAGCUCGUCGUGAUUUGGGCCUUGUGAGGAGAGGUAGAAGGUGGUGACUGUUCCGGCGGAGUUGCCAGGGACGAGCUUGAUCUUCAUAUCGAUCUUUCCGAAAAGAUAGGAGUUCUUAGACUGGAAGCCGGAGCCGGAGUAGUGAUCAAGGGAGAGGGUGAGGAGCUGACCGUUGUCGAGGAACUUGCCGCGGCCGUCACCCCAUGUUAUGUCAAGGUCUUGAGAGAGGCUGCUCUGAGCUA
rnacentral:misc_RNA from 1 species